UACGUAGGGUGCAAGCGUUGUCCGGAAUUAUUGGGCGUAAAGAGCUCGUAGGCGGUUUGUCGCGUCGAAUGUGAAAACCCGGGGCUCAACCCCGGGCCUGCAUUCGAUACGGGCAGACUAGAGUUCGGUAGGGGAGUCUGGAAUUCCUGGUGUAGCGGUGAAAUGCGUAGAGAUGUGGAGGAACACCAGUGGCGAAGGCGACUCUCUGGUCUGUAACUGACGCUGAGGAGCGAAAGCGUGGGGAGCAAACGGG
rnacentral:rRNA from 1 species